rnacentral:rRNA from 1 species
AAGUCAGAAUAGGUAUUAAAAGCUUGCUCUUAUGAAGUUAGCGGCGGACGGGUGAGUAACACGUGGGUAACCUGCCCAUAAGACUGGGAUAACUCCGGGAAACCGGGGCUAAUACCGGAUAACAUUUUGAAUUGCAUGGUUCAAAAUUGAAAGGCGGCUUCGGCUGUCACUUAUGGAUGGACCCGCGUCGCAUUAGCUAGUUGGUGAGGUAACGGCUCACCAAGGCAACGAUGCGUAGCCGACCUGAGAGGGUGAUCGGCCACACUGGGACUGAGACACGGCCCAGACUCCUACGGGAGGCAGCAGUAGGGAAUCUUCCGCAAUGGACGAAAGUCUGACGGAGCAACGCCGCGUGAGUGAUGAAGGCUUUCGGGUCGUAAAACUCUGUUGUUAGGGAAGAACAAGUGCUAGUUGAAUAAGCUGGCACCUUGACGGUACCUAACCAAAAAGCCACGGCUAACUACGUGCCAGCAGCCGCGGUAAUACGUAGGUGGCAAGCGUAAUCCGGAAUUAUUGGGCGUAAAGCGCGCGCAGGUGGUUUCUUAAGUCUGAUGUGAAAGCCCACGGUUCACCCGGGAAGGGUCAUUGAAAACUGGGAGACUUGAUUGCAAAAAAGGAAAGUGAAAUUCCAUGUGUAGCGGUGAAAUGCGUAGAGAUAUGAAGGAACACCAGUGGCGAAGGCGACUUUUCUGGUCUGUAACUGACACUGAGGCGCGAAAGCGUGGGAGAGCAAACAGGAUUAUAUACCCUGGUAGUCCACGCCGUACACGAUGAGUGCUAAUGUGUUAGAGGGUUUCCCGCCCUUUAGCGCUGAAGUUAACGCUAUUAACACAUCUCCCCCCUGGGGAGAGUACGGGCCCGCAAGGUGUGACAUCUCAAAGGAAAUUAGACGGGGGGCCGCGCCACAACGCGGGUGGGAGCUAGUGUGUUUAUAUUUCAAACGCAAGCGCGAAGAACCCUAUAACAGGCUCUUGCACAUCCUCUGCACAUCUCUAAGAGU